GGUGAAUGACCAGAAACAGAACCGAAAGCUCUGUAAAGUGCUCUCGAGGUUACAAAGCAAGUUUCACAGGAGCAGUUUCAUCUCACAUAGGCAGCCCUCUGAGCUGGGUAGUUACUGCUUUACAGAUGAGGAAACCGAGGCCCGGGAGAGGGCGGGUCCUCAGCAAAUCAAGAAAAAACUGAGACUAGGACCUAACGGAAGUCCAGGCUAUGAAUGGCCCCCGUAGGGUUAAAAGAGCUUUCUAGAAAUUUCUUUGAAAACUAUUGUAAAGUGACAUAUUUCCUCAGGAUGUCUGUCACGCCAGCAGUGGGAGCCAACACACCAACUCUCAGAGGCUGUUCCCCCUGCGCGGCAGAUCCAGACGCUCAGCUCCCAGGCCUGGAGGCUGGCGGCUUAGCCCAGGGCACAGGAGGAGGCUGCCUGGGUUUGGCGCUGACUUACAGCAGGUGCUGAGGGAAUGCUGAGGAGAGGCAAGGCUGAUUCAAGAGGCCGACAACAGAGAACAUUCCUAGAGCUCUCCCACCAGCUGGGCAUGGUGCUAAGUGCAUUACCUGCGUUCACUCAUAACAUCCUCACAACACUGUGAAUACGAUGACCAUCCCCAUGUACAGGCGUGGACGCUAAGGCUCAGAGCAAUAAAUAAUUAGCCUGAGAUCACA
rnacentral:lncRNA from 1 species